GCCUGAGUGGCCACCACUGUUCUCUGCAGCAGAAGACCCCUUGCUGCCCUGCCCAGCCCAGCAUUUGCCAGCUAAAUCAGCCAUCUUGAGUGGUCAGCAGGGGGCAGCGGAGGAUCCAUUGAAGGGCAGAGGUACAAGUGCAGAGAUUCAUCAAAUCCCAGCUGGCACACCUAACACUCCAUGGCUUAAUAAAAGGUACUAAACCU